rnacentral:rRNA from 1 species
UACGUAGGGUGCAAGCGUUAAUCGGAAUUACUGGGCGUAAAGCGUGCGCAGGCGGUGAUGUAAGACAGAUGUGAAAUCCCCCGGGCUCACCUGGGAACUGCAUUUGUGACUGCAUCGCUGGAGUGCGGCAGGAGGGGGAUGGAAUUCCGCGUGUAGCAGUGAAAUGCGUAGAUAUGCGGAGGAACACCGAUGGCGAAGGCAAUCCCCUGGGCCUGCACUGACGCUCAGUGCACGAAAGCGUGGGGAGCAAACAGG